GACGAACGCUGGCGGCGUGCUUAACACAUGCAAGUCGAACGGAGUGCCCAUGACAGAGGUUUCGGCCAAUUGAUUGGGUUACUUAGUGGCGGACUGGUGAGUAACGCGUGAGGAACCUGCCUUUCAGAGGGGGACAACAGUUGGAAACGACUGCUAAUACCGCAUGAUACAUUGUUGGGGCAUCCCGAUGAUGUCAAAGAUUUAUCGCUGAAAGAUGGCCUCGCGUCUGAUUAGAUAGUUGGCGGGGUAACGGCCCACCAAGUCGACGAUCGGUAGGGGUUCUGAGAGGAAGGUCCCCCACAUUGGAACUGAGACACGGUCCAAACUCCUACGGGAGGCAGCAGUGAGGAAUAUUGGUCAAUGGGCGAGAGCCUGAACCAGCCAAGUAGCGUGCAGGAAGACGGCCCUAUGGGUGUAAACUGCUUUUAUCAGGGACGAAGGAAGUGACGGUACCUGAUGAAUAAGCCAACGGCUAACUACGUG
rnacentral:rRNA from 1 species